rnacentral:rRNA from 1 species
GAAUAAGCAUCGGCUAACUCCGUGCCAGCAGCCGCGGUAAUACGGAGGAUGCGAGCGUUAUCCGGAUUUAUUGGGUUUAAAGGGUGCGUAGGCUGUUGGAUAAGUCAGCGGUGAAAUCACCACGCUUAACGUGUUGUGUGCCGUUGAAACUGUCUGGCUUGAAUGCGCUCGUCGUGAGAGGAAUGUGUGGUGUAGCGGUGAAAUGCAUAGAUAUCACACAGAACACCGAUUGCGAAGGCAUCUCACGAGGGCGCUAUUGACGCUGAUGCACGAAAGCGCGGGUAUCGAACAGGAUUAGAUACCCUGGUAGUCCGCGCUGUAAACGAUGAUGACUAACCGUUGGUCUGAAUGGAUCAGUGGUCAAGCGAAAGCGUUAAGUCAUCCACCUGGGGAGUACGGCCGCAAGACUGAAACUCAAAGGAAUUGACGGGGGCCCGCACAAGCGGAGGAACAUGUGGUUUAAUUCGAUG